rnacentral:rRNA from 1 species
ACACAAGAGACCCAAAUUAACUGUCACACGGCGUAAAGAGUGGUACCAUGCUAUCCUAACAACUAAGAUCAAAAUGCAGCUAAGCUGUCAUAAGCCCAAGAUGUACCUAAAAACACCCCCAAGACGAUCUUAGCGCCCCCGACUGAUUAAACUCCACGAAAGCUAGGACACAAACUGGGAUUAGAUACCCCACUAUGCCUAGCCCUAAAUCUUGAUACCUUCUAUCACCAAAGUAUCCGCCUGAGAACUACGAGCACAAACGCUUAAAACUCUAAGGACUUGGCGGUGCCCCAGACCCACCUAGAGGAGCCUGUUCUAUAAUCGAUAACCCACGAUGCACCCGACCGCCCCUUGCCAAAACAGCCUAUAUACCGCCGUCGCCAGCCCACCUCCCCUGAAAGAACAACAGUGGACAUAAUAGCCCCAACCCCGCUAACAAGACAGGUCAAGGUAUAGCCUAUGGGGCGGAAGAAAUGGGCUACAUUUUCUAAGAUAGAUAACUUCACGGAAGGGGACAUGAAAUUGCCCCCGGAAGGCGGAUUUAGCAGUAAGGUGGGACAAUAAGGCCCACUUUAAGCUGGCCCUGAGGCACGUACAUACCGCCCGUCACCCUCCUCACAAGCUACGCACAACACAUAACUAAUACCCCCCCCCCGCUGAAGAUGAGGUAAGUCGUAACAA